GGUGGGGUGCCCGAGUGGUUAAAGGGGACGGGCUGUAAACCCGUUAGCUUUGCUUACGUUGGUUCGAAUCCAACCCCCACCACCA
rnacentral:tRNA from 1 species